UGAGGAAUAUUGGUCAAUGGGCGGGAGCCUGAACCAGCCAAGUAGCGUGAAGGAUGAAGGUUCUAUGGAUUGUAAACUUCUUUUACAGGGGAAUAAAGUGCACCACGUGUGGUGUUUUGUAUGUACCCUAUGAAUAAGGACCGGCUAACUACGUGCCAGCAGCCGCGGUAAUACGUAGGGUCCAAGCGUUAUCCGAAUUUACUGGGUGUAAAGGGCGAGUAGACGGAAUUGCAAGUCAGAUGUGAAAACUUAGAGCUUAACUUUAAGACUGCAUCUGAAACUGUGAUACUAGAGUGCAGAGGAGGUAAGUGGAAUUCCUAGUGUAGCAGUGGAAUGCGUAGAUAUUAGGAGGAACACCAGUGGCGAAGGCGACUUACUGGGCUGUAACUGACGUUGAGGAGCGAAAGUGUGGGGAGCAAACA
rnacentral:rRNA from 1 species